rnacentral:snRNA from 1 species
CGACUCUGGUUUCUCUUCAUUACGCAGCUUUUCGCCUUUUACUAAAGACUUCCGUGGAGAGGAACACUUACGAGUUCAACGUAUUUUUGGAAGGGCUUUGCUUCUGGCAGAGCC